CAAGAUGCGGAAAAAACUAGUCCCGCCGCAGGCAUGGACCUUAGCAUACCAAAAAAGGAAUACUUCCCGCCGGAGUCACCUUCGACAUCACGCCACCAUCACGUGAUACAAGGAAGCGCACAUUUACAUCGCCUAUAAAAAGACCAGACUCGCAAGCGUCUCGGGAGAAAUUUUUAAGCCAGACUCAAGUUUAGUCACAUCGUGGUGAAUUAAAAAAAAAGUUCAUUUGAAAAGGUGUGUUUACUGAAGACCUCCACACAUUACAACCAACCAGCUCCUGAAUCAGCUUAGAAUUCAACACAAAUGACAACGCUGUGUCUUCGAUCUAGCUUGCUGCUCGUGGUAUCGGCACUGUUGAUAACAACCGCGUCCGCUCGCUCUUGGGAGAAAUCCGGGGCAGUUCGUUGGUCAUAUAAUUGUGAUUUCGUAGGCCACGACAUUCAAACAGUAAACGUGCCUAACUAUGAAUGCGGAAGGCAAUGUGUUAACAAUGCGGCGUGCACGCACUUCACCAACAACCAGCAUGCCUGCUUUUUGAAGACCAGUAGCUAUGCUGUGCUAGAAAUCGAUUCCCCUAACACAGACUGUGGUUUCAUCCUUGGUCGUAGCCGGCAGCCUGAAUGAUGAUGUGCUUUAAUCACUUGUAUUGUCAAAUCUGGAUUUUCAUACCUUUCAUUCUUUCAUUCCUUGUAACAGUAGUUUCCACAUCUGUAGGCUACAGUUUUCUCAAGCUUCAUCUUUUGGUGUCUCUUAAUUAUGGAAAUCUGAAAAUAAAAGAGAAAAGAAGAAAUCAGAGAA